rnacentral:rRNA from 1 species
UACAGAGGGUGCAAACGUUGCUCGGAAUUAUUGGGCGUAAAGCGCGUGUAGGCGGCUUGUUAAGUCGGCUGUGAAAGCCCAUGGCUCAACCAUGGAAGUGCAGCCGAAACUGGCAAGCUUGAGUCCCGAAGAGGGUGGCGGAAUGCCCAGUGUAGAGGUGAAAUGCGUAGAGAUGGGGGAGAACACUCGUGGCGAAGGCGGCCAGCUGGACCAGUUCUGACGCUGAGACGCGAAAGCGUGGGGAGCAAACAGG